rnacentral:tRNA from 1 species
AGUUCUGUGGUCUAGUGGUAUGAUUUUCGUCUCACACACGAAAGGUCUCGGGUUCGAACCCCGGCGGAACUA